GAGAGAGAGAGAGAGAGAGAGAGAGAGAGAGAGAGAGAGUGAGUGAGAGAGAGAUGUCCACUUAACUGCACAGUUUCCAUGAUUGAACGGACAACACAUCAUACCCCAUUCUCCAUUACUCUACACAGCUGCAUGCCCAUAUUAGAGCCAGUGCCUACUGCCAACCAUACAGAAGGCAAAGCUGGCCCUGGGAAAGAGACAUGAGGACCACAACCCAACAAAGAGAGAGAAAAGAACAACUGCAGAGGUGUGAGGGAUGUGACAGCCUGAAUCAUGGCAUAAAAAAAGUAGGCAACACAAGACUUUUAUAACAAAUCUAAUAUGUUGACG